CUCUGAGAGCUCAGACUUCACACCAAACCACACUGAGGGUAAGAAGAAUAAAGUCAACCAGUUGAGGAUUUGGCCCAUUUGUAAUCCACUCAGCAUUUCUAAUUCAAAUGAACGGCAAUGCUACAGAUUUAGGAUGACGGAUAUAGAGAGCCAAAAACCUGUGCCUGAGUAUGACCCCAGCCAUGCAGGAACAGCACCAAUGUAUGCCCCACCUCCAUACAUGCCUCCUCCUUAUCCUACGGGGCCGGUCAUGUACCCUGAACCCGUUCCUGUGCCAGUCAGCUUCAUCCCACCCAACCUGCCACCAGAAGAGACUGGCAUCAGCAAAACAGAAGAAUCGGAUCCAGACCCAGCAGCCGUAUAUCCACCUGAGGAAGGUCAGGUGUUUGUAUCAUCAUUUGAGGAUGAUACUGUUCGGAAAGCGUUUAUCAGAAAGGUGUUCAGUGUGGUAACAAUUCAGUUACUAGUCACGUUCACUGUCGUCUGUGUGUUCACCUUCUCAAACACAGUCAAGGCAGCGGUUCAGGGUAACAUCUGGGUGUACAUCAGUUCUUACAUCAUCUUUGUAGUAGUGGGCACAUGUCUUUCUGUGUUCUCCAAAUUCAGUCGCACACAUCCCUGGAACCUGCUGGGACUGUCAAUUGUUACGCUGAGUCUGUCCUACAUGGUGGGAACUGUAGCCUCAUAUCAUGACACAAGUGCUGUAAUCAUCGCUUUAGGAUCAACUCUGGUCAUCUCAUUCACCAUCAUCAUAUUCUCUGCCCAGACUCGCUUGGACUUCACAGUUUGUAAUGGUAUUCUGCUCAUACUGUCCGUCGACUUACUCAUGUUUGGAUUCUUCAGCAUCUUCUUCUACUCCAGUGUUCUGCAAAUUGUCUAUGGAUGUCUGGGAGCUCUUCUUUAUGCCUUGUUUCUGGCAGUGGACUGUCAGCUGGUGAUGGGCAGACAAACAUACAGCCUUGAUCCUGAAGAGUACAUCUAUGCUGCCUUAAUUAUCUACCUGGAUAUCAUUAUGAUAUUCCUCUACAUACUUAUGAUUUUGGGUGGAAGCUCCAAAAAUUAAAUUCACACAUGCAUAACUCCCAAUAUGCACAUGCCGGCUGAUAUUCAACCUUCUGACCUCCAAGUUUUUACAUCACUGCUGUGUUCUCUCUACUGGUUCACUGAUCACGGUACUUGUAUCAUGUUGUUUGUAUUUGUUUAAGAUGCAUUUUUGAGAUGCACAGAUCAUUUUUAGCAGAUAAACAUAUUUGUAAAUUACAAUCUUACAAAUUGCUGAUCACAAGAACCUUUUGUAAGCUUAAAUAUUAUGCCUAAUGUAAAUGCCUUAAAUGUUAUCAAUGUGAUAAACAUCCCACUGAUGUGAAUCAUGAAAUGUCCCUGUAAUGUGACUGCUUAAAUCAAUAAAUUCUGCUUAUUUCAAC
ensembl:lncRNA